rnacentral:rRNA from 1 species
UUCGGGUGAGCGGCGGACGGGUGAGUAAUGCGUGGGAACGUGCCCUUUGGUACGGGAUAACUGAGGGAAACUUCAGCUAAUACCGUAUGUGCCCUACGGGGGAAAGAUUUAUCGCCAUUGGAGCGGCCCGCGUUGGAUUAGGUAGUUGGUGAGGUAAAGGCUCACCAAGCCUACGAUCCAUAGCUGGUCUGAGAGGAUGAUCAGCCACACUGGGACUGAGACACGGCCCAGACUCCUACGGGAGGCAGCAGUAGGGAAUCUUGCGCAAUGGGCGAAAGCCUGACGCAGCCAUGCCGCGUGUAUGAUGAAGGUCUUAGGAUUGUAAAAUACUUUCACCGGGGAAGAUAAUGACGGUACCCGGAGAAGAAGCCCCGGCUAACUUCGUGCCAGCAGCCGCGGUAAUACGAAGGGGGCUAGCGUUGCUCGGAAUUACUGGGCGUAAAGGGCGCGUAGGCGGACAGUUUAGUCAGAGGUGAAAGCCCAGGGCUCAACCUUGGAAUUGCCUUUGAUACUGGCUGUCUUGAGUUCGGGAGAGGUGAGUGGAAUGCCGAGUGUAGAGGUGAAAUUCGUAGAUAUUCGGCGGAACACCAGUGGCGAAGGCGACUCACUGGCCCGAUACUGACGCUGAGGCGCGAAAGCGUGAGGAGCAAACAGGAUUAGAUACCCUGGUAGUCCACGCUGUAAACGAUGAGUGCUAGUUGUCGGCAUGCAUGCAUGUCGGUGACGCAGCU